rnacentral:snRNA from 1 species
AUCCAUUUUCUGGUUACAUAAUUAAUUAUCUUAUAUUAGCAUGGCCCCUGCGCAAGGAUGACACGCAAAUUCGUGAAGCGUUCCAUAUUUUU